AAGACAGAAAAAUUCCUAUUGAUUUCCUGGAAUGAUGCUAAGUAGCUUGUCACUGAACACAAUGUUACUCACCUUUUUCACUGGGACAGGGGUUAAAGGUUAUGCUGGUAUCAGGGAUAGAGCUGCUGCUGACUGACUCAUCUGUUGUUAAGUGUGGUAAAAGUUACAGGGACAAGUUAGAUAUAAGAAUAUGUUGGUAACUUUUAUUUCCUUAAUUCAUUAAAUGUGUGUUGUUCGCAUUGUACUCUGUGCUUUUUGGUUGAGCCAAUCCAUGUCACGUCCCUCAUUUCCGUUAUUCCUCGCACCUGUGUUGCUUCCUGAUUGUCUCCCUUCUUAAGCCUCUCUCAGUCAAAACCACACUGCCAGAUUAUCGAACGCUUUCAGCAAGUAGUUUUCCAGCACUUCUUCCUCGCCCUCAUAGUUACUACCACGCUUUGUUCCUCAGAUCUGCCCCUUUUGUCUUGCCCUUGUCGGACUGUUACUGAUCGCCUAUCUGGAUGUCGACCCACGCCUGUUUCAGUUACAACGCUCUCGCCCACUCCCACGGACUCUGUUCUCAGCCCCGAUCGUGCAUGACCUCGGCCUGUCUGACUAAGAACUCUGAUUUGGAUUUGGUUCUUCUGCUGCUUCACAGGUUGGUGCGCUGCCCUGCAUCAGCACUUCCCCUCCCCAGGCACUUCCUCCCGAGCCCUGCGUCAGCGCAGCAUCUGCUCUCGUCCUUGUCCCUCAGCCGAUCACUACUGUAACUGAUCGCCAAGUCAGGGCGCGCCAGUGUCAGUUCGAAACAGUUUCUGUAUCGGUCACAUGACUUGCUGAAAGUAAUACGCGCACCAACACGGGGUUUUGUCUAUGGGCUUGACGCAUGCGCCGACGCAUUGGUGUCGGACCCAUCACUACUUUUGUGCUGCUGCUGAGCAGUUUGACCCAAAGCUGACUGAUAAGUCCUACAGCGAAACAGUCAAGAAGUGGCUACAUUACACACCAGAGAGAGAGUGAGGCAUAAAGGAACCAACAUGACGCCAACCAGAGUGAAACUUGGGUUACCCCAACGCAUACUGUUUCCCUGGUUCAUACAGCACAAUGUAUGUUGUGCUAUAUGUUGUUCUGACAGUCAAAACGGAGUCAAAUAUGUUUACAGAUCUAUCCCUGUUUUCUUAAACAAAAUGUUAUAUUAA